UACGUAGGUGGCAAGCGUUGUCCGGAAUUAUUGGGCGUAAAGCGCGCGUAGGCGGCUCGAUCAGUCUGUUGUGAAAGUCAAAGGCUCAACCUUUGAAUGCCGAUGGAUACUGUCGAGCUAGAGUCCGGAAGAGGCGGGUGGAAUUCCUGGUGUAGCGGUGGAAUGCGCAGAUAUCAGGAGGAACACCAACGGCGAAGGCAGCCCACUGGGACGGUACUGACGCUAAGGCGCGAAAGCGUGGGGAGCGAACAGG
rnacentral:rRNA from 1 species